rnacentral:rRNA from 1 species
GUGGCGAACGGGUGAGUAACACGUGGGUAAUCUGCCCUGCACUUCGGGAUAAGCCUGGGAAACUGGGUCUAAUACCGGAUAUUCAGCUUUCAUCGCAUGGUGGUGGUUGGAAAGUUUUCGGUGCAGGAUGAGCCCGCGGCCUAUCAGCUUGUUGGUGGGGUAAUGGCCUACCAAGGCGACGACGGGUAGCCGGCCUGAGAGGGUGAUCGGCCACACUGGGACUGAGACACGGCCCAGACUCCUACGGGAGGCAGCAGUG